GUUCCGUCUUGCCCAAUCCAGACAGUCAGCAAAGGAGUCGCCCCGCCCCACUCGUCCGCCAGGCCCCGUCCCGCCUGAAGAGGCAGCUCUGCCAGAAGGCAAACCCUUCACAAGGGUAUCUCCAGAGCGUACAUCUAGAGGACAGAAGCAUCUCCAGUAAGAUCUAUAGCGGCCUCUGAGAAGGGAACGUGCUGGUUACAGAACACAAGUGUCUUCCGCGGUUUCGUUCUGUGCUCGGUUUUUGAGGCACAGAAGUAGGAUCAGUGGCUCAGUUUGCUAGAAGAAGGACAGCCAGCAGCAAAAGUUGAAGCCUGAAUGUCUUCCCAUCACAACCACAAGCUCCUUGAAAGCAGGAACACGAGUCUUAGAGUAGAUGAAAUCGCCGCACGUGAAGGCAACCAUCCCACAUCGGGUCUGAAGAGUACUGAGUGCAGCGCCCGCAGAUGUUAGGCAGCAAGCGUGUUCGUGUGGUUGUCAUGCCCCUCAUUCAGGUGUUAUGCUGCACACAGGAGUCCCUCCUUCUCCCGCCCAAACCUUCCCUGGGCCACCCUGGGCUCCUCCAGGUGACCGCCACGCCGUCUGAGAAGCGCCACCACACGCCUGCACCCCUCAGUGCAGACGCCACCACGGGCCGCGCCUGGGGACCUGGGAAUUGCUUUAAAAUACCAACACAAGGCAAAGGGUCAAUAUAAACACAGGUAGCAGAAUUUCAAUCACUGUGGAAUCUGCAUACUGAGUUUGUGAAUGCUCCCGGUGAGAUUUUUCUAUACCUCUGUACGCGCCUGAAAUUUUUCAUGAUGAAAUUCUUAAAAAGAGGUUAAGAGGCACUGAGGUCAGGCAAGGAUUACUGUCAGUUCUGGGUGAAGGAGGUGAACAUCCAAGCAUCUUUCCACAGACUCCAAACGUCUUCCCUUUGCCCCUGAGGCCCUGCCCACCCAGCUCUCCGGCUCAGGUUGGCCUCUUUGGGCAACAGGGCUGUGGUCACUUUGGCUGCAGGUGGAGUUGGCCCAUAAGGAGCCCCCACAGGAGCUGGGAGGAAGGAACAGAGUACGGUCAGGGGAUUCAUCCCCCCUGCAGCGUCACCAGGGCCUGGUUGUGUCCUUCAGCCCAAGGUCACU